GACGAACGCUGGCGGCGUGCCUAAUACAUGCAAGUCGAACGAGAGCGACCGGUGCUUGCACUGGUCAAUCUAGUGGCGAACGGGUGAGUAACACGUGGGUAACCUGCCCAUCAGAGGGGGAUAACAUUCGGAAACGGAUGCUAAAACCGCAUAGGUCUUCGAACCGCAUGGUUUGAAGAGGAAAAGAGGCGCAAGCUUCUGCUGAUGGAUGGACCCGCGGUGCAUUAGCUAGUUGGUGAGGUAACGGCUCACCAAGGCCGUGAUGCAUAGCCGACCUGAGAGGGUGAUCGGCCACAUUGGGACUGAGACACGGCCCAAACUCCUACGGGAGGCAGCAGUAGGGAAUCUUCCGCGAUGGACGCAAGUCUGACGGAGCAACGCCGCGUGAGUGAAGAAGGUUUUCGGAUCGUAAAACUCUGUUGUUAGAGAAGAACAAGUGCUAGAGUAACUGUUAGCGCCUUGACGGUAUCUAACCAGAAAGCCACGGCUAACUACGUG
rnacentral:rRNA from 1 species